rnacentral:rRNA from 1 species
UACGUAGGGCGCAAGCGUUAUCCGGAAUUAUUGGGCGUAAAGCGCGUGUAGGCGGCUUGUUAAGUCGGGUGUGAAAUCCCUCAGCUCAACUGAGGAAGUGCGCCCGAAACUGGCGAGCUUGAGUGCCGGAGAGGAUGGCGGAAUACCCCAAGUAGAGGUGAAAUUCGUAGAUAUGGGGUGGAACACCGGUGGCGAAGGCGGCCAUCUGGACGGUAACUGACGCUGAGACGCGAAAGCGUGGGUAGCAAACAGG